GAGCUCCUACGGGGGGCAGCAGUGGGGAAUAUUGGGCAAUGGGCGCAAGCCUGACCCAGCAACGCCGCGUGAAGGAAGAAGGCUUUCGGGUUGUAAACUUCUUUUAAGAGGGAAGAGAAGAAGACGGUACCUCUUGAAUAAGCCACGGCUAACUACGUGCCAGCAGCCGCGGUAAUACGUAGGUGGCAAGCGUUGUCCGGAUUUACUGGGUGUAAAGGGCGUGCAGCCGGGCUGACAAGUCAGAUGUGAAAUCACGCGGCUCAACCGCGGAAAUGAAUUUGA
rnacentral:rRNA from 1 species